rnacentral:rRNA from 1 species
AGAAUCAACGCUGGCGGCGUGCCUAACACAUGCAAGUCGCACGAGAAAGUGGAGCAAUCCACGAGUAAAGUGGCGCACGGGUGAGUAACACGUGAAUAAUCUACCUCCGAGUGGGGAAUAACUGAGAGAAAUCUUAGCUAAUACCGCAUAAUACCCACGGGUCAAAGCAGCAAUGCGCUUGGAGAGGAGUUCGCGGCCGAUUAGCUAGUUGGCGGGGUAAUGGCCCACCAAGGCGAUGAUCGGU